rnacentral:misc_RNA from 1 species
AAAAAAAUAAUUCUUACAUAACUGUAAACAGAAGAAUUAGGAAGUAGCAUUUCGUUUCAGGAAUUUUCUGCUGCUAUAAUGGCCUUGUGCAUGAAAACAGAGAUUAUUUGUUACAUUUCCCUGGGAGCAUUGAUUAUUUAAUUAUGUAGACAUUUUAGUCCCAUAGUCUUUCACUGAUAUCAUAUCUAUGUUUCCCUUUUGGUUUGGAACAGGUGAACAAAAUCGAAGAGAGUUUUGAUUUGAUAAACUCAGGAACAAAGCCACUUGCAGCUUAUUUAUUCUCCAAUAAAAAGAAACUCAAGGAACAGUUCGUGAUGUCUGUCUCUGCAGGGGGUCUAGUCAUCAAUGACACUACUGUGCAUGUAAUUAUUCUUUCUUGAUCUUGUGGAAACUAGCCGUGUACAUAUGCAUUCAUAAUUUAGAUACAUGUCUCUGCAAUAGAAUAACAACUUGCUGCUUAUGGUUAACAUGAGAGUUGGGAUGAUGCAUACACCCAGAAAUAAAUUUUCCAUGCAUCUUCAAAUCUCAUUAGGCACUGUUGAGUUAUUACUGGAGUGCAUUGAAUGGACAGAUCGGGUGUAUCAGCCAUGUGUUUGAUUUGGGGAUCAAUGAAUGAUUUGUGCUGAAACUUGUUCUUAGUUAGGGAAUUCUUUGGGAUGAUAUAACUGCAAUGCCAGGGACUGAGGAAGCCUACAAUAUAUUUUACUUGCUUUUGGAAAGCAAUGUCAGGGUAAUUAAACUUUAGAUAGAGUACAAGAAUGCAAGAGUGGUAGUGGUAGCUAGGAGGAGACACCUUUUGCAUACGGAAAGUAUGUACCAUCCAAAUCUAAGUUUUAAAAAUAAUAUAGCAGUCAAUUUGUAGUGAUCGUGGUGGUAACCAAUGCUUGGUUAUUAUGCUAAUGAACAGGAAGCUGAGUUCCCUGUACUCAAAGAUGGGUAAUUCCUAAAAAUUAGAGGCAUCAGCUGAAGAUAAUCCUAAACAUUUUCACAUGGAAUAGUUAGUUGCCUGAAAAUUCAUGUUGUUGCCUGAUAACCUGAGUCAGCACUGUAUUGCUUAUGAUCCUUUAGAUAUUGGCAAUGGUUGAAAGUUCUGUUGCAGAUUCAAGUACUUCUUCAGUUGGGGUUGGAUAUGUUUCUGCUUUUUGCUAAGUUCCAUCUAAUAUUCUUCUAUAAUACAGCAUGGGCAUGCACUUCUAAAUAAUCAAUAAAAACCUGUCUUUCAUUCUCAUAUUGCAUGCAUGUAUCCUUGAAAUUUGUAGAUUUAAUAUCACAAAAUUGAAUACUGGUUAAUAUCUGCACAUAACAUGUGCUUCUUGAUGCAG